AUGACCUUUGGUUCUUAUCCUCCCCACCCCUCCAAUUUCGUUUUAUCUCUCUAGAAAUACAGACCCAAAACCUCUCUUCUUCCAUAAUAUUCAUCCACUAGAUCAAUCAUCAAGAUUUGCUUUGGUUGAGCCCUAAACAACUCCACAAGAUUGAGGUGUAUAUACUCGUACAAGCUAAGAGGAAAUGUUUGACGAAGUGGACUUUGGUUGGUCUAUGGCGUAGAUGAUUUGAACUCCUCGAGUUGUGGUAGAACUUGUUGUAUGGUAAAACGCCAAGGUAAUGUGCAAGAUGAGAUAUGAAGAUGGUCAUUUGGAGUAGACUUUUUGGGAGCCCUUGUGAAGAUCACAUCUGCAUAUGCAUCUAGUUUUUGUAAAUUUUUGGGGACUUGUACAUGAUACAUGUGUGACACUUAUGUAUGAAAUUUUGAAAGCUUGUGGGAAACAAGACCAUAUGCUUGUAACUUGAACUGGGUGACUAGUUUUGCUAUUUUAGGGUGUGCUUUUAACUCAAGUCAUGCCAUGUACUGGGUUUAUAUUUUGCCUUGUAAUUAUGCACAAAGGAAGGUAAUAGUUUUAUGAUAAUUACUAGUUUGAGUUUUGUGUAUCUUAUGGACCCGCAAUGGUGUUGAAUUGGAAAUAAAAUUUCAAAACGAAGUUUCUUAAAUGUGUUGACUAUUUGAGAAGGGAAUUACCGUUUUAUAAUGAUACUCUGAUAUUGUAUUUCAUCGAAGAAAUUUUUUUGGAGGGCGCAAUGAAAAAAAAAAUGUCGCACUUUCAACCUUUUUUCGCAUGGGCCUUUUUCCGCUAUUAAAUAUAUUUGUGAAUAUCUUUUGGCAUAAGUUCUUCUAAACGACGUAAGUGUAAAAUUAGCUUUUGUUUCGUAAGUGGUAUCCUCCCAAAGGGGAUGCUACACGCAAUACAUGGAAUAUAUACGCC